GUAAGCAAACGCGGGUGGUCACACAGCCUCGUCUCUUACAGCCUCCACCAAAGCCCCCUCGGUCUUCCCACUGGCCCCCACCUGCGGGGGCACAUCCGGCUCCACCGUGUCCGUGGCCUGCCUGGUGUCCGGCUACUUCCCUGAGCCGGUGACUGUGUCGUGGAACUCGGGCGCCCUGUCCAACGAAGUGCACACCUUCCCAUCCAUCCUGCAGUCCUCGGGGCUCUACUCCACCAGCAGCAUGGUGACCGUGCCCUCCAGCAGGUGGUCCAGUGAGAGCUUCACCUGCAACGUAAACCACCCGGCCAGCAGCACCAAGGUGGACAAGACCGUUCCCAAAACACAAAAACCGGAGCUAUGCGAUUGUUCCAAAUGCCCAGUUUCUGAUAUCCUGGGAGGACCCUCUGUCUUCAUCUUCCCCCCGAAACCCAAGGACGUCCUCAUGAUCGCCCGAAAUCCCGAGGUCACCUGCAUGGUGGUGGAUGUGGGCCCAGAGGACUCCGAUGUCCAGUUCAGCUGGUUCGUGGAUGACCAGGAGGUGCACACAGCCAAGACACACCCGAGGGAGCAGCAGUUCAACAGCACCUACCGUGUGGUCAGUGCCCUUCCCAUCCUGCACCAGGACUGGCUGAAUGGCAAGGAGUUCACAUGCAAGGUCAACAACCCAGCCCUC